rnacentral:lncRNA from 1 species
ACACUGCGACAGGGAGGAGAUGGUGCAUGUCAUUUGAUUGGUUUAGAAAGACGUUCCACCGUAGUCGGACAGAGAAGCUAAAAGGCAGAAGCAACUUGAGGAUCAUGGGCUCUUUGCAUCACACCUUCGUGGUGUGUGCAAAGAGCCCACGAUCCUCAAGUUGCUUCUGCCUUUUAGCUUCUCUGUCCGACUAGGGUGGAAUGUCUUUCUAACCCAAUCAAAUUACAUGCACCAUCUCCUCCCUGUCGCAGUGUGUGUGAAGAUUUUUACAUUCUCACACCUGCAUCGCUGACGUCCAACUAUCUGUGAGAAAGGAGCACCAAGUCUCAACAGACAGAGACACAACUCCCCGACCUUGGGUUUGGGAGCUAGAGUUGAGAGUCUAUCAGGCAGAGACAACCAUUGAACAAUCUGGGUGAAAUGUCAAAUGCAUACAGUAAGACAAGACAUAAGAUAUUAAUUGCAGAACAUAAGUCAUAACUUGUAUAAUAACUGCAUAGAAAUAAGGAAGACACAUAGAAAUAAGGAAGAGACAAUUUUUCCCAUAACAUUAGGACAUCCUAUGAGUAAGGAGUUACAGUAGUCCAGCCUAGAGGUAACAAAUGCAUGGAUCAGUUUCUCUGCAUCGCUCUGAGAGAGGAUGCUUCUGAUUUUAACUAUAUUUCUAAGGUGGAAGUAGGCGGUUCUGGAGAUUUGUUUAAUGUAUGAUGUAAAAGAGAGAUCCUGGUCAAACAUGACACCAAGGUUCCUCACAGUAGAAUCUGAAGCUAAUGUUAUGCCAUCCAGGGUGGCUAUCUGACUCAAUAGUGUCUCUCUCAGAUUUUUAGGCCCAACAAUAAGAAUCUCGGUUUUAUCUGAGUUUAGUUGAAGGAAGUUUUGGGACAUCCAGGAUUUGAUGUCUUUUAAACAACCCUGAAUUUUGACUAGUUGAUCUGUUUCAUUUGGUUCCAAGGACAUGUAUAGCUGAGUAUCAUCUGCGUAAAAAUGAAAAUUAAUAGAAUGCUUUCUAAUAAUCUCACCUAGAGGAGACAUGUAUAAGCUAAACAGAAUUGGACCCAGCACAGAACCCUGUGGAACUCCAUAGCUAAUCCUUGUGCGUGUGGAGAAUUUAUCAUUAACAUGAACAAACUGGAAUCUGUUCAACAAAUAGGAUUUAAACCAUCCCAAUGCUGUUCCAUUAAUCCCGAUUCUAUGUUCUAGUGUCUAUAAUAGAAUGUGAUGAUCAAUUGUAUCAAAUGCAGCACUAAGAUCUAACAGGACAAGGACAGAAACUAGACCAUUGUCCGAAGCUAAUAGAAGAUCAUUAGUGACUCUAACCAGAGCUGUUUCUGUGCUAUGAUGUUUUCUAAAUCCUGACUGAAAAUCUUCAUACAGGUUAUUCCCACUAAGGUGGUCAGAUAAUUGUUUAGCCACGAUUUUUUCCAGAAUCUUGGAAAUAAAGGGUAAAUUUGAAAUGGGCCUAUAGUUGGC